AUUUUUGUCAGCACAUUUUAGCCUGCACAUUACCUGCCGCCUCUGCGUCCUGGAGUCGCGACAAACGCAGCCGUGACUCGAAACGCUUAUCCAGAGGUGACCCAUGGAUGAGUGAAUGCACCGCUGGGCCAAGAUGCUCGGCUCCAUCAUAAGUGUCACUAAAGUUGGGAUGAGUGUCUUCUAAGGAGUGAUGAGACGAGCCUCAUAAAGAUGACGGAGAGCUGGACGUGUCGCCAGCCCCUGCCAGGAAACCCCAGUGAUUAACGAGAGCCGGGACACCUCCGCUAAUAAGACUCAUCGCUUUAAUUGGCUCCAUGCUAUCCAGAUCCUCGCCAAAAUGUCACGGCUCCUUCAUUUGCCCAGGUGGCCCCCUGCAUGCCCUUUCCUAGCCGCUCAAAGGCUGC